rnacentral:rRNA from 1 species
UACGUAGGUGGCAAGCGUUGUCCGGAUUUACUGGGCGUAAAGAGCGCGCAGGCGGUCGUUCAAGUCGCGUGUGAAAGCCCCCGGCUCAACUGGGGAGGGUCACGCGAUACUGAUCGACUCGAAGGCAGGAGAGGGUAGUGGAAUUCCCGGUGUAGUGGUGAAAUGCGCAGAUAUCAGGAAGAACACCUAUGGCGAAGGCAGCACUCUGGGACGGUACUGACGCUGAGACGCGAAAGCGUGGGGAGCGAACAGG